UGUUGCGUUUUUCUAUAUAUCGGAUAAAAAAAAUAUUUUACAAAAUCCCUCUCUCAUAAAAAGAAGCGUGAGUGAGAGAUGAGGGUUUUUACUUUUUAGUGAGAGAAUGUUUGCAAGAAUGGCGUCUAGGGUUUGGAUCUGCUGAUUUUUCUUCGAUUUCUCAGUAAUCAUUUUAUUUAGGCUUUGGAUCUAUGUGUUCUCCAAUUUCCCUCUAAUUGAUUUGCGAUUUGCCUUUGAAAGCGAGGAGUUAUAGACGAAUCGAAACUAUUGGUUCGAUUUCUACACUUCACCGGAUCUGAUCUCAAAACUUGUAUUUCGUGCUCUAUUUGCGUUGAAUAGAUCUCGGUGUUCCCAUGGUUCAAGAAGAAGAGGCCUCUUAGAACUAACAGAUCGAUGUGGUACUUUAACUGGUUUUAGUAAUGAGGCCUUUGUUUUUUAUUUUCAACCUCAAGAUCCUGAAAAUAUAUAUGUAGCACUUGUAGCUCUAUCUGGCAGAUAAAUACCAGUUUUCCGAGGGGUCACAUAGCAUAAUUUCCAGCUACUUGG